AAAUUUGAUACCUUAACUUUGAACACUUAUAUCUCCUUCACUUAAACUCAAAAUCAUACAAACUCUUCAUCCGAAUUAUACCCAAUACCCUGAACUUAUUGACUUUAGCCUCUAAAGCUCAAAUGACUUCAAAAGAGAAACCCUAAUCCCUAAUAAGGCCUCAGGCAGCCUCCUUGAAGCCCAUUGGGCAUGGCCUUCGAUCAAUAGGAAUGAAGAUCUCCAUUCCUUACCUU
rnacentral:lncRNA from 1 species